rnacentral:rRNA from 1 species
GAUGAACGCUGGCGGCGUGCUUAACACAUGCAAGUCGAACGAGAAGUGAAGACGGAAACCUUCGGGCGGAAGGCUUUAUUUCGAGUGGCGGACGGGUGAGUAACGCGUGGGUAACCUGCCUCAUACAGGGGGAUAACAGUUGGAAACGACUGUUAAUACCGCAUAAGACCACAGCACCGCAUGGUGCGGGGGUAAAAACUCCGGUUGUAUGAGAUGGACCCGCGUUCGAUUAGCCAGAUGGCGGGGUAACGGCCCACCACAGCGACGAUCGAUAGCCGAACUGAGAGGAUGGCCGGCGACAUUGGCGCUGGGCCGCGGCCCAGACUCCUACGGGAGGCAGCAGUGGGGAAUAUUGCACCGUGGCGGAAGCCCUGAUGCAGCGACGACGCGUGAGUGAAGAAGUAUUUCGGUAUGUAAAGCUCUAGCAGCAGGGAAGAAAAUGACGGUACCUGAGUAGGAAGCCCCGGCUAACUACGUG